GCAUUGUACAUUGUACAGAUGCUGAACAAAUUUGUUGCAGGACUAAAAAGCUAAAUGUUUUGUGCAAUAGGUAACUUAAAAUUUUUCCGUCAGGUUCUUCUUCCAUGUGAUGACAUCAUGUCUGCAAUGAGACCUCUAAGAAAGAAUUUCAAGAACUUUAGGCGAUAAGUGGGACAGAUCUGUUUCUAAAACGGGAUGAAGAAAAAGGUACAAGAGUAGUCCCGCAAACAAUCCUCCACAGCUGGACAGAGUGAUGCCGAGAAUAAUCAGGAAUUCUGGGUUUGAUGGAGCUACAGAAGAUGGCAGUUUUGGAAGGCUUGUACAUGUAAAUGACUCCACACACCCCAAUUGCAAAGUGCAGUGCUUUGAGGAGGAGGGUCUACCAAGCUUGUAUUUUGUUGCCCUCCGUGACAUUCUGCCACUGGACAGACGCUACAGGUGACUGUGCCAGUGUCAUCUCUCGUGCAGAGAUGAAGUUGUGUAUAAUUAUGGUGCAGGACCAUAUCCAUGGAGGAAAAAGUUCGAAAACCUGUGACGUUAUAGUAUCCAAGCCAGGUGUGAGACCAGUCCAUUGCCAACUUGAAGUUUAAACAACGGAAAGGACAAGUUUGCUUUAUACACUGAUGUUGGAGCUUGGGGAAAGCCACUUGACUACAUUACCCAGCUCAGGCAGUCUGCAAUACUCAAAGAAUUCUUGAUGACUGCAGUGUCCACGACUAAGAUGUUGAACCAGAUGGCCUACAUCCAGAACUGACGCAUGGAGUUCAAAACUACAUGGAUCAAGGCAGCUACGUUCGAUUCGGCGUAAAGUCGCCAUGGUUAGCCCAGACAGCCUUCCGGCACUUUGUCAGAGGACAGAUCUUCUGAGAUGUGAUUGAGAGUCAUGAGGUAGCUGCUGUGCAAAUAAUUGGCUCGGAUCUGACAAGCCGCAAAAAGUUUGCCUUUUAAAGAGUGUGGCAUAUCAUUCCAACAAGAUGUGCAUUGCCCCAUCACCUUUGUCCAGCCACCUGGCUUGACUUGUAACAGAUAUCAGGAUUCCCUGCGGAGUAGUUGUGUGCUAACUUCUCGCGUUCCACCACCAAUGAUGGCUUCCCCAAGGCUACAACUACAUACAGAAGAUGAUAGUCAACAUUCAGCUUGUGAUGUAAGAAACGGGCAUUCAGCCGGCGAAUAUAAACAAGCACACCUUAACUGCUUGUUUUCAUGUGCAGUGCUCAUGGAAAGUGCAGGGAGAGGAUCUUGCUGGAACACGUGCUCACCCUUAAGUUGGCUCGAUUGGUAGCGCCCAAGUCACUGCCAGGGCCCAUGAAUAGGCCAGACGCCCUGGAGAUGUGAACCACUGACACAUGAUCAGUUCCCCAUCUAGAGCAGCACUAAAGGCGACCUCCUUAAAGCCUACUUUCUGGAAUACAUCUGUGUGCAGAGCUUGUACAUCAAGUUGAAGACUUACAAUUCAUCUCAUUGACAGUGAUACAACAUUUAAACAAAACCGUAUUAUGACUGAAAAAUCUAAACAAAAACAAAAUUUGUUGUUGUCUUAUACCAGUGUCAUGGCACACUGGUCGCUUUACUAUAUGCUGCAAUAAAUUGCUUCUUUUCAAGGAUGAGGCUUUGUUGACUGCUUUAAUAAAUACAUAAUGUAAAAUUACCUGCUCAACUAUGAAAUUAUGUGAAUCAAAUAUUGUGUACAACUACUGCUGGCCGCAUUAAAAAAACACAAUAAAGCUUCAUUACUUAAUGUGUCCGCAAAAAUUUAUUCCCGAUUCUGAUCAGUGACUCCUUUGUGUAGCUUAUGUUUAACGACUGUUCAGUUUAGUUGCUUUUUUGAAUAAGUUAGUUAUUUAUCAAACACAGUGUACUUUUCUAAUCAUUUUGCUCUAUGUUGUAUAAAGUUACUGUUCAAAAUGAAUCAGAUAUCUUAGAUGAGCAUUGUCUAAUCUUUUUUAAUUAAAAUCACUUGUCAUAAAUAUAACUUCCUGGGCUAGUUUUCAAAAUUGCAUAUGUAUUGCGCAAAAUGUUUGUUCAUUCGAAUUCAAGUGUUU